rnacentral:rRNA from 1 species
GUACACGCUGUGACUAGCAUAUCAAUAAGCGGAGGAAAAGAAACUAACUAAGGAUUCCCCUAGUAACGGCGAGUGAAGCGGGAAGAGCUCAAAUUUGAAAUCUUAAAGGGUUUCCCUUUACGAAUUGUAGUUUAAAGAAGUGUUUUCUGUUGAGGUUUUGGUAAAAGUUCUUUGGAAUAGGACAUCAUAGAGGGUGAGAAUCCCGUAUUUGACCUUUACUUUCAACUUUGUGAUACACUUUCAAAGAGUCGGAUUGUUUGGGAAUGCAGUCCAAAAUGGGUGGUAAAUUUCAUCUAAAGCUAAAUAUUGGCGAGAGACCGAUAGCGAACAAGUACCGUGAGGGAAAGAUGAAAAGAACUUUGAAAAGAGAGUUAAACAGUACGUGAAAUUGUCAAAAGGGAAGCGUUUGACACCAGUGUUGUUUUUCUGAAAAUCAAUUAAAGAACUGUUUAUGCUAAGUUGUUUAGACUUUAUCAGCUAUCUGUUUAGUUUUGAGCUUUUCUUUAAUGCACUUUUCAGUUAACAAGUCAACAUCAAUUUCUUUUGCUGUAAAAAAGCUUGAGGAAGGUGGCUUGAGAUUCGUCUUAAGUGUUUAUAGCCUCUUGCCUAUGCAGUCGGAGAGAUUGAGGUCUGCAGCGUAGAUCCUUCGGGGCUAAAUGCAUUUGUGCUAAGUUAUAGCAUUUUAUAGACAACUUGUUGACUAUGAUUUGUCUUGUAGCUUACUCGCUUAUGUUAUUUUACCUACGCUUAGGAUGUUGAGUCGUAGAGCACGCAG